rnacentral:rRNA from 1 species
GAUGAACGCUGGCGGCGUGCCUAAUACAUGCAAGUCGAGCGAACAGACGAGGAUCUUGCUCCUCUCACGUUAGCGGCGGACGGGUGAGUAACACGUGGAUAACCUACCUAUAAGACUGGAAUAACUUCGAGAAACCGGAGCUAAUACCGGAUAACAUGUUUACCCGCAGGGUUCAGCAGUGAAAGGCCGUCUUGCUGUCACUUCUCGAUGGAUCCGCGCCGUAUUGGCUAGUUGGUAAGGUAACGGCUUGCCAGGGAAGCGAUGCGUGGCCGACGUGUGCGGGGGAAGGGCGCCAGUGGAACUGAGACGCGGCCCAGAGUCCUACGUGAGGCCGAAGUAGGGAAGCGACGGAAAUGGGGGAAAGCCUGAACGAGGAACGGAGCGCUAAUGAAGCAGGUCUUCGGAUCGUAAAACUCUGUUAUGAGGGAAGACCAAUUGUGUAAAUAACGAUGCACUGUUUGACGGUAGUUAAUCAGAAAGCCACGGCUAACUACGUG